rfam:Methyloglobulus morosus KoM1 MGMO_85c, whole genome shotgun sequence.
UAUCUCCUGCGGUGUUCGAUGGUGUAUUGGGUGUUUCCUGAACCUAUUUUUACCCAGGGGGCAAAUACCGUUAAUGGUGUGCAUGCCCGUCUCGACGAGAAGCCUGAUUUAACGAGCCUGUCCCCACUUGAACUUUCGGUUCAAGGACGAAAAUACAUAACGGCACAGGCGGGAGAUGC